UGAGGAAUAUUGGUCAAUGGGCGAGAGCCUGAACCAGCCAAGUCGCGUGAGGGAAGACGGUCCUACGGAUUGUAAACCUCUUUUGUCGGGGAGUAAUAGGCGGGACGUGUCCUGCUGUGAGAGUACCCGAAGAAAAAGCAUCGGCUAACUCCGUGCCAGCAGCCGCGGUAAUACGGAGGAUGCGAGCGUUAUCCGGAUUUAUUGGGUUUAAAGGGUGCGCAGGCGGCGUGCCAAGUCAGCGGUCAAAAGUUCCGGGCUCAACCCGGUGAUGCCGUUGAAACUGGUGUGCUUGAGUUCACACAAGGAAGGUGGAAUUCGUCGUGUAGCGGUGAAAUGCUUAGAUAUGACGAAGAACUCCGAUUGCGAAGGCAGCCUUCUGGGGUGUUACUGACGCUGAGGCUCGAAAGUGCGGGAAUCAAACAGGAUUAGAUACCCUGGUAGUCCCUGA
rnacentral:rRNA from 1 species